UACGUAGGGGGCAAGCGUUGUCCGGAAUUAUUGGGCGUAAAGAGCGUGUAGGCGGUCCGGUAAGUCGGCUGUGAAAGUCCAGGGCUCAACCCUGGGAUGCCGGUCGAUACUGCCGGACUAGAGUUCGGAAGAGGCGAGUGGAAUUCCCGGUGUAGCGGUGAAAUGCGCAGAUAUCGGGAGGAACACCUAUGGCGAAGGCAGCUCGCUGGGACGUUACUGACGCUGAGACGCGAAAGCGUGGGGAGCGAACAGGAUUAGA
rnacentral:rRNA from 1 species